GAUGAACGCUGGCGGCGUGCCUAAUACAUGCAAGUCGAGCGAACAGACGAGGAGCUUGCUCCUCUGACGUUAGCGGCGGACGGGUGAGUAACACGUGGAUAACCUACCUAUAAGACUGGGAUAACUUCGGGAAACCGGAGCUAAUACCGGAUAAUAUAUUGAACCGCAUGGUUCAAUAGUGAAAGACGGUUUUGCUGUCACUUAUAGAUGGAUCCGCGCCGCAUUAGCUAGUUGGUAAGGUAACGGCUUACCAAGGCAACGAUGCGUAGCCGACCUGAGAGGGUGAUCGGCCACACGGGAACUGAGACACGGUCCAGACUCCUAAGGGAGGCAGCAGUAGGGAAUCUUCCGCAAAGGGCGAAAGCUUGACGGAGCAACGCCGCGUGAGUGAUGAAGGUCUUCGGAUCGUAAAACUCUGUUAUUAGGGAAGAACAAAUGUGUAAGUAACUAUGCACGUCUUGACGGUACCUAAUCAGAAAGCCACGGCUAACUACGUG
rnacentral:rRNA from 1 species